UACGGAGGGGGCUAGCGUUGUUCGGAAUUACUGGGCGUAAAGCGCACGUAGGCGGCUGUUCAAGUCAGAGGUGAAAGCCUGGAGCUCAACUCCAGAACUGCCUUUGAAACUAGACAGCUAGAAUCAUGGAGAGGUGAGUGGAAUUCCGAGUGUAGAGGUGAAAAUUCGUAGAUAUUCGGAAGAACACCAGUGGCGAAGGGCGGCUCACUGGACAUGUAUUGACGCUGAGGUGCGAAAGCGUGGGGAGCAAACAGGG
rnacentral:rRNA from 1 species